UUUUGGCGAGAUCUAUUAUUUAUUUAAAUUAAUUUUGUAAUAAAUAAUAUUAAAUAAUAGAAUCCGAAGACCUAAUUUUUAGGUAAUCUGUUAAUCACAAGGAGUUGUGAUUGUGAGAUACAAAUUACAUGUAAUUGGAUCUUGAAUAAACAAUGGUCGUAAGUAAUAACGAGAUACGGAUAUCGUUAAUACAGUUAGACAAUCACGUGUGG
rnacentral:lncRNA from 1 species